GUAUUAGAUGCGUAUUAUCGCAAGUAAACAUUCUGAACUUUUUUAUAAUGUAUGUAAAUACGUGGGACGGCAUCUCAGGUCGUUUCCAACCCGUCAACCAGAACCACAACAGGUGCACAGGUGUAGAUGGAUGAGCAGGGCUGAGCACAUGCCUCGGAAGGCCAGCAUCAAACCCCUUUCAAACUCGUUAAUGAUCCUUCCGCAGGUUCACCUACGGAAA
rnacentral:misc_RNA from 1 species